GAUAAGGAAAAACUCCCUCUGUUUUUUGAGGAAGAAACCUUAAGCAGACCAGACUCAGAGGGGUGACCUACUACUUAGGCCAUUAUAACAUUUACCAGGUUUUC